GAAACUCACUUAGAGUAAUGUCUAAGUAUCAUUAAGUGAAUACAUAGCUUAAUGAGGGGAACUCAGGGAACUGAAACAUCUAAGUACCUGAAGGAAGAGAAAGAAAUUCGAUUCCGUAAGUAGCGGCGAGCGAACGCGGAUUAGCCCAAACCAAUAAAGUUUUCUUUAUUGGGGUUGCGGACAUAUCAUAACGAAGAGGUAUCGUAAUUGAAGAGGUUUGGAAAGACCCACCACAGAAGGUAAUAGUCCUGUAUGUUAAACGAGAAGACUUCAGAUAUGAUCCAGAGUACCACGGGACACGUGAAACCCUGUGGGAAGCAGGAGGGACCACCCUCCAAGGCUAAAUACUACCUAGUGACCGAUAGCGUAUAGUACCGUGAGGGAAAGGUGAAAAGAACCCCGGGAGGGGAGUGAAAUAGAACCUGAAACCCUGCACUUACAAGCUGUGGAAGCACAUUUCUUGUGUGACCGCGUACUUUUUGUAGAACGGGCCAACGAGUUACGUUAAGUAGCAAGGUUAAGCACUUAAGGUGUGGAGCCGUAGCGAAAGCGAGUUUUAACUGAGCGUUCAGUUACUUGACGUAGACCCGAAACCGGGCGACCUACCCAUGAGCAGGAUG
rnacentral:rRNA from 1 species